AGGACUUGGGAGGCCCUGGAAAGGAGUCUGGCUGAAGUGGAAAUGCUGUGAGAAGCCACAUAAAUGUAGAGUUUCAACAAGCGAGCGAUGAGAUGUGAUUUGUAUUCUAAGACCAGGUCUUCCUGAGAAGAGGAAGCACCGGGGGCAAAUCAGAGCAGAGAUACAUGUUGACUCGGACCCCAAGGAGAAUGUUUAUGUGAACAGGUCAUCGUACUGGCUGGAGGCCGCUCAGGGAAGAGGUAGAGUUACACUUCCGGGUUUGAAUCCUUGCUCCACCACCUACUUGCCUGUGGGAUCCUGGGAACCAGGCCCAGGGAGCCGGGGUGACUUCUCAGAGUCACAUGACACAUGCGGCCAGCCUGAGUCCAGGGCUCUGGCCGUGACCCCAAGAACCAGGAAUGUGCCUGCCUCUGACUCCUUGAAGGGAUUUAUUCAUUCUGAAGACACUGUUUUCUGCUCCUCAGAGCCAUCUUGUUGAGGCAGAGGGUGACCAGCGGCCCCCCACCCUCCCCAGGAUGUUCAACAGAGGGGUCUCCUGGGCUGUGGGAUUUUGGGCUCUAAAACUGGGCAAAUUGAGAUGAGUUGGUCCCCCUCUGUGAGCCCUCCCACAAGCACCCAGUCACCUGCUCAGACGGGCCUCGGAGACCUGGCCUGACUCCUCCAGGAGCCACACGCUCUUCCAUCUCACUGCCAGGGCUGAUGAGGAAACUAGAAGCUCCUCUUCGUAUUUGAGACAGAAAAUAUACACCAUUCAGGAAAUUGGUGGGAAAACUGAGACACCAAAUAGGGGAGUGGAAAAACUCAGAGAUUAGCAAUAACCAAUGGCGCCAAGACCAUUUUCUGGCUGCAGUGACAGAGGGAGGAGGUAGGGCUCCUGGCCCCCUGGGGGUGGGGGGUCACCCUUGUAGGGUUGGGGGUCACUCUUGGACGUUGAAGUCAGGUGGACCUGACCUGGGGAAGCUGGAGUCACCAGAGACCGAGCCACCUGCGGAGGCGCUGCUGCUGGGACAGAGGGAACCACCGUGCUGGCCGCUUUCCACCCCUUGCCCUCGGUCUUGCAGCAGGGGUUUCUCCUCAUAUGUGGAAGGUCCAGGGGCUGGGGACUGUGAGCAGAAGCCUGGCUCAUUGGGCAGGCAGGAGAACUUCCCUCAGGCCUGGGUUUCUCAUCCUGGGGGAGCCAGGCUUCUUCGCAUGUCAGCUCCAGUGCUGACACACGGGUUUGGAAUCAAACCCCCGUGACAAUCAGCUACUUGAAUCAAAGAAGCUCAGCCUCAUCAAACAUUUAAGCUGAAAGGCAUCUCCAAGAUCAGGGGAACAGAAGCCGGACUGCUGACGGAGAGACAGUGGCGCCAGUGUCAGGCCCAGAAGCGGGUCCAACUGCUGCUCAGGCUGGGGCAGCUUCCGCCACCGGCCACCUUGGCCCUCACGCCCAUCCCGGGAAAGGAGGCCGUGGUCCCACUGCGCAGGCGCACCCACGGACAGCGCGAGCCAGAUCCAGCCCUUCCCUUGACAGUGGGGACAUGCGCUUGAGACUCCUGCCUCUAGGAGGCUAAUGGCUGUAAUUACAAAUGCUUAUUGCAAGAAAAGGAAAACUUAGCAAAAACAAGUAAAGUCUAGAAGUUCUGAUUCCAUCUUUAUCCAGAACAAUGACAGGAGGGAGUACCGAAAAAUCCAACACUUUGAUUUCGUGAGAUGAUGGGAUUCAGCUGAACGAAAAUUUUUUCUUAACUUUUGGUCCCCAACAAUAUUGCGCUGCUUCGGCAAGCUUUAUAUCUCACAUAUACAAUGUGCGUGUUUAUUCAACAAAUAUUUAUUGUGUACCUACCAUUCAGUCACUCUGCAGACGUUUAUUAGAUGCUUAAUAUUGAGCGAGGCGCUGUGCCCGUGGUGAGUGAAGCGGGCGUAAUUGGCGUUGUCGCCAAGCUCACCCUCUGUGUGUCCCAGGUCCUGGGGAGGGCACUCCCUCUGUCUUCAUCUUCUCCCCUCCUCCCUUCCUUGUUUCCCAAGUCCCGCCACCCUGGGAGGCAAAAUGUGAUGCCCUGAAUAGUGAUGGAUGGUGUUUCUU
rnacentral:lncRNA from 1 species